AAUUAGUUUCUUCCAUCAAGCAGAUGAAAUCAUUAUAUAUGUACAACAAAAGUUAGCAUAAGAAAAAUAUUCGCACUGAGGGUUGCAUAUUACCGUGCAAGACUUGGCUUGUGUUUUAUGUACGGAUGCCAUGAAGUUGUAUUUUACAUAUCAUCGUUUAUCUUCUCAAAUGCUACUGCUGCUUCAUUUUCUGAAGAGAACUUGAAGAUUUUUUUUUUUGGUUUUCCUAAUCACGUGAUGGCAUAGUACUUCUGUUGUACGACCGCUCGUGAAGGCGGAGUGCGUGCGGCUGGAGGGGAUUGCUGUGGAGGUGACCUUUUUUUACAUAGGGAGAGAGCACCCAGCUCAUCCUCCGGAGCAGUGGCCCGGGCACGUUGGGCCAACGACGAUGCGCGGGGAAACUGGUUAAAACGACCAUGCACAGCCCACCCAUGGGAGCGGACACUUUUACUUUGCGUUAAAUAAUGGAUGAAAGAUGUGUUCGUUAAUGUGAUAUAUGGACCUAGUUCAAGUACACCAUGCUGAAUUUGUUGGCGCAAUAUAUGUGUAUCUACUAAUCUUCUAUA